rnacentral:rRNA from 1 species
AAUUCGAUUGAGUUUGAUCCUGGCUCAGGAUGAACGCUGGCGGCGUGCUUAACACAUGCAAGUCAAGGGGGCCCGGGGCGCAAGCCUGGGGCAACCGGCGAACGGGUGCGUAACACGUGAGCAACCUACCCAGGUGUGGGGGAUAGCCGGCCCAACGGCCGGGUAAUACCGCAUACGCUCAACACGAGGCAUUUCGAGUUGAGGAAACCUUCGGGGCACCAUGAGGGGCUCGCGGCCUAUCAGCUAGUUGGCGAGGUAAUGGCUCACCAAGGCUACGACGGGUAGCUGGUCUGAGAGGAUGGCCAGCCACAUUGGGACUGAGAAACGGCCCAGACUCCUACGGGAGGCAGCAGUGGGGAAUCUUGCGCAAUGGCCUAACGGCUGACGCAGCGACGCCGCGUGAGGGAUGACGCUCUUCGGAGUGUAAACCUCUUUUGCCUGGAACGAACUAACAGCUUUUGCUGAUUUGACGGUACCGGGUGAAUAAGCACUGGCUAACUCCGUGCCAGCAGCCGCGGUAAUACGGGGGGUGCGAGCGUUGUCCGGAAUCACUGGGCGUAAAGGGCGCGUAGGUGGCAUGAUAAGGGUGUGGUGAAAGCCCGGGGCUCAACCCCGGGUCGGCCAUGCCGACUGUCAAGCUGGAGUACUGUAGGGGCAGGCGGAAUUCCGGGUGUAGCGGUGGA